rnacentral:rRNA from 1 species
UGGGGAAUAUUGCACAAUGGGCGCAAGCCUGAUGCAGCCAUGCCGCGUGUAUGAAGAAGGCCUUCGGGUUGUAAAGUACUUUCAGCGGGGAGGAAGGUGUUGAGGUUAAUAACCUCAGCAAUUGACGUUACCCGCAGAAGAAGCACCGGCUAACUCCGUGCCAGCAGCCGCGGUGAUACGGAGGGUGCAAGAGUUAAUCGGAAUUACUGGGCGUAAAGCGCACGCAGGCGGUCUGUCAAGUCGGAUGUGAAAUCCCCGGGCUCAACCUGGGAACUGCAUUCGAAACUGGCAGGCUAGAGUCUUGUAGAGGGGGGUAGAAUUCCAGGUGUAGCGGUGAAAUGCGUAGAGAUCUGGAGGAAUACCGGUGGCGAAGGCGGCCCCCUGGACAAAGACUGACGCUCAGGUGCGAAAGCGUGGGGAGCAAACA